rnacentral:lncRNA from 1 species
UAAAGUUGCUAAAUUUCUCUGCACAAACCAUUAUCGGAUUAUGAAAACAAAUAUACAUGAGAAAUCACUACAACUCAUUUUGAUACACCAGUAAACUUAGUCUAACAACAAACUAAUAUCAACCCUCUAUUGAUCCACCCUCUCCCAAAUCAAAGCAUUUGAAGAUCAUCACUUGAUUGUUCAUAGCCAUUCUUAAAAUAAAUGAAGACAUUAGGAUUUGCUUACAGAUUUUGAUAUGCACAUAUAGGAAAGAGUUCUAUCAAAAAAAUGUAUUUGGUUCUUCGCAGAUACUUAAAAUGUGAAAAUGCAAUAAUGACUGGAGCACAUAAUAAUUGCUUAUAGAACUUGAAAAGAAAAAUCUAAAAGAACAUUACGUAGAACCAUCACAUUGUCACUCUUACUCCAAGAAAAGCAGAAGAGGUUCAGCACUUGAAGCCACAACUUAUGCCCAUGUUGGUCAAACUAACAAUUUUCUUUUCAAAGGCAUCCAACUGAAUGAAUGAACUCUGGUAUCCAAAGAUAAAAAAAACCAAGAUUUUUCUAAGAUGACCUAUAUCAUCUUCCAAGCAGUAGCUAUGAUAUAAUUUAGCCCCACGAAAAUGAGAACAAAAGCCAUGAUACUCCUUCAAACAACAGAGAUAAAACUAAAUCACCAACACUUAAAAGAUAGAGAAGACAGAAAUAUGCAUAACAAAUUUAAUAGAAAUGGUAAUUCAUUGAAGAAUUUAUUCAAACACCUAGAGAAGAGAAGACAUUGGUAGUAAUUUUAUACCUUCAAAAGCCACCACUAAUUAUUGGCACGUCUAAUUGCCAAAAUAAAAGCUAAGUAAACUGAUACUGAAAAAUAACUUGGAAAACUCUGCUAAAAGGGGAAAAUGGCAUAUCAAAAGAUACAAUCUAAGUCUAAGUAACUAAAGCUGAAACAUAUCUUGGGAAACUUAGCAAAAAGGAAAAGAUAAAAAAACGCAUAUAUAAAGACAUAAUCUUUAGAUGGAUUAAAUCAAGAAUUCAAGAAAUGAUCAAAAACAUUAACUAAACAUGGAUGAUUACUGUAAUUGAAUCUAUUAAUUUUAGAAAACAAGAAAAGAAUCAGAAUACUAUAAAUUAACAAUGGAUUAGCUGAUUUACAAAAAACUUUUGACUCUUACAUGAGAAUCACCGUAUAUUUUUUUUGAUUUGGUAACCUUGGCCAAGAUCAUAGUAAUACUCAAAAUACCAUCCAUAGAAGAAAAUCAUCCUAUAUAAUAAUUACCUUCAAAUAAGUAGAAAAUUCGAAAAAGAACUUCUCAAGCAGCAGUCGCUAUAACCCCUGAUUAGCAAACGUUGUGUUCUUCAGAGAAACCCAACAGGAAAACCAAACAAAAUAGCAAAAGAAGAUCGUUCAGCGGAGCAGACACGACAACUUAAGUUCGAAGUUCAUCGAGAAAAAGCUAAGGUAAUCCAAAAACUAAGUUCUGGAGAGGAGAGUAUACGUAGGUGUAUAAUUUUAUGUAAUAUACAGAAUUACUUUGCAGCUGUCAAAAGUAAUCUACGUGUUGCUUUGUAAAUAUAAUGAGUCAGUCCAAGAUGUAAAACCUGUCACUUUUAGAGCUAAAGUAGCAGUGAAAGGUCAAAAGUGAAUUUUGAAAAUACCUAAAGAGUUUGUUGUAUUUACAAAAUGGUGUGAUGGUAAUUGAUGUAAUAAUGUUAAAAAGCAGGGGCAAAAAUAUUAUGGCUGAAGCUGGCAUGUCGAUGAAGAGCAAGCUGCUUUUCCUCUUUGUGAUACAAAUAUCCAAAAAUCUUCAAAACAAGAAGACCUAAGAAGGUAGGUAGACCUUAAGAUGAUGUGAAUAGCAAGUAUUAG